rnacentral:lncRNA from 1 species
AACCUUCGAAGGCUAAAAAUAAAACUAAGUCUGGAUACUUAACCAAAAUAGUCUAAAAUAUCGACCUUUAACGGAUGUGAAGGUUGUGAAAUAAGAUUACCAACCUUCGAAGGCUAAAAAUAAAACUAAGUCUGGAUACUUAACCAAAAUAGUCUAAGUCUGGGACCCUUUUACAAACAUUAGUGGACUGAAUUAAGCUUAGAGUUUUACGGGGUCUUACAAU